GACGAACGCUGGCGGCGCGCUUAACACAUGCAAGUCGAGCGAUGAAAUUUCGACAGAUCCCUUCGGGGUGAAGAUGAAAUGGAUUAGCGGCGGACGGGUGAGUAACCCGUGAGUAACCUGCCUUUGACAUUGGGAUAGCCUCGGGAAACUGGGAUUAAUACCAAAUGACACUAACUGAUCACAUGAUCAAUUAGUCAAAGAAAUUCGGUCAAAGAUGGACUCGCGGCUGAUUAGCUAGUUGGUGAGGUAACGGGCCACCAGUGCGACGAUCAGUAGCCGGGAAGAGAGGGUGAUCGGCCACAUUGGAGCUGAGACACGGUCCAGACUCCUACGGGAGGCAGGAGUGGGGGAUAUUGCACAAUGGGGGAAACCAUGAUGCAGCGACGCCGCGUGAGCGAAGAAGGCCUGCGGGUAGUAAAGCUCUUUUAUGAGGGAAGAUAAUGACGGUACCUCAAGAAAAAGCCCCGGCUAACUACGUG
rnacentral:rRNA from 1 species